AGAAUCAACGCUGGCGGCGUGCCUAACACAUGCAAGUCGAACGAGAAAGUGGAGCAAUCCAUGAGUAAAGUGGCGCACGGGUGAGUAACACGUGACUAACCUACCCUCGAGUGGGGAAUAAACUCCGGGAAACCGGGCUAAUACCGCAUAACAUCUUCGGAACGCGAGUUCUGUUGAUCAAAGGAGCAAUUCGCUUGAGGAGGGAGUCGCGGCUGAUUAGCUAGUUGGCGGGGUAAUGGCCCACCAAGGCUUAGAUCGGUA
rnacentral:rRNA from 1 species